GUGCCGAGUGCAAGAUGUGCGUGAGGAAGGCGCAGUGGUGUGUGUAGAGGCUUCAGGUUUGGAGGUGCGAGAUCCGAAGUUGCAGGGCCCGACCUAGGUUUUAGCGGGCCUGUGGUGGGGGCCCUUGUUGUGUGCCUCGACUGCGGAAGGGUGAGACCAAACAUUCAGAAUACAUGUUUCUCUAUAUCCAGUUCUUCAUAGGAGCAAUUUGAAAAUUAUGUACUUGGAUGUACACAUGCCUAGGAUUACAUAAUCACGACUUCUCUUCACAGUCUCUAUCUAUGUUUGUGAGUUAUUUAACACCAAUAAAACAGUGUAUUUUGAUUCAUUCGGUGUUGUGACCUGAAUAUCCCUCUUAUGUGUAUUGAAGGGUGUAUGGAAGAGCAUCUGGGUUUACAAAUUUGGUUUCCAAACGAGGCAUUGUUGUGUUCAUGAUGGUGCCUAUGAUGACUGUUGCGGCAGCUGUACCGGACUGGUGUGAUCUUCCAAGUAGCCAUUGGAGUGCGGGAUUACUGUGCAUAUGAUAGUUUGAGUACAAUCUUUCGUAUGGCACUCGUGAUCGACGGCUGUAGCCCACCAAACAGAUGGGAUGCAUGGCUGUUAUUUUGUGUCGAACUGAAAUUGGACGCUGACCAUCGAUCGUACAUGUAGCAGUGCUCGUUGGAGUGUGUUGGCGAGGUGCUUCAUGUCGGGUGCUGCAUUAUGAGUGGGCAAUUACCUUCUUGAGCCGGAUCAACACUUCCUCCUGGCCCGUCGAGGCACUGCUGCUCUAGAGUUGGAGCAGCUGUAGAAUAGCAAACAUGGCUGUGCUGAUGAGCCAGUGGGCUUGAGUGCGAGCAUGGGGUGAAGCCUAGGGGUUUGAGUGGAACAGAAAGCUGGUGCACAGUAAGAUGAAGGAGAGAAAAGAAGAAUGGUGUGGGGAGGCGCGGAGAAGAAAUGAUGCAGGAUAUUUUGUAAAAGUCUAAUUGGCACUGAUUGUAAACCCUACUUUGUUUCUUUGCAAUGCAUUCAGAAAGGCACCUUUGUAAUUGUAAAUACUAAAUACACAAUUAUUCCCUUGAAGUUAGGCAGGUUAGACAGUACAACUCCAUUAUGUUCUCAAGCAGAACUGUUGUUUAUAUGGAUACAAUGGUUUAUUACUUCUAACCAAUGCAUUUGGAAUUCUUAUUUCUCUUGCAAGUGCAGACUCUUAUUCUCUCAGUUAAUCCGAUCAUGUAAUGCUGAAUUGCUUAUUCAUUAGUACUUUAUUGUACAUACAAUGGUUCCUGUACUGCACAGUAUGUUCCUGUACUGCACAGUAUGUUCUAUCACAUCAUUGAAAAUCUUAUUAGCGACUGCGGUGUUCACAG
rnacentral:lncRNA from 1 species